rnacentral:rRNA from 1 species
UGACCGUACCGGAAGAAUAAGCACCGGCUUACUUCGUGCCCGCAGCCGCGGUAAUACCAAGGGUGCAAGCGUUACUCGGAAUUACUGGGCGUAAAGCGUGCGUAGGUGGUUCGUUAAGUCUGAUGUGAAAGCCCUGGGCUCAACCUGGGAAUUGCAUUGGAUACUGGCAGGCUUUAGUGCCGUAGAAGGUAGUGGAAUUCCCGGUGUAGCAGUGAAAUGCGUAAAGAUCGGGAGGAACAUCUGUGGCGAAGGCGGCCAUCUGGACCCGCACUGACACUGAGGCACGAAAGCGUGGGGAGCAAACAGGAUUAGAUACCCUGGUAGUCCACGCCCUAAACGAUGCGAACUGGAUGUUGGGUGCAACUAGGUCACUCAGUAUCGAAGCUAACGCGUUAAGUUCUCCGCCUGGGGAGUACGGUCGCAAGACUGAAACUCAAAGGGAUUGACGG